UUAAAACUACUUUUAAUUCAGUGUGUGUGUGUGUGUGUGUGUGUGUGUGUGUGUGUGUGUACAAGUUACAGGACAGCUUGAUGAAUCUGGUUCUCUUUAACCAUCUAGAUCCCAGGAAUAUAAUUCAGGAGGUUAAACUUGGUAACAAAUGCUGUUACAUGUUGAGACUUCCCACCUAUCCAAUACUGCACAAUGUAAAUCAAAUUGUUUAAAGUACCCAGAAUUCCUAUGGGUGCCUCAGCAGUGUUAAACAGUCCCAGGACAGUUACAUUAGGUCUUUUAAACAAUGACUUAAUAUGUUGUCUGGAGAUAACAUAUUAUGGGCUACAUACUAAAUUCUAGUCAGAAAUAAGAAGUGUAUAAAUAUCUCUCGUAUUUCUGAUUUUCCAUUGCUGUGGUAGUUGUGCAUUUGUAUUGGACCAUGUUCAUGUGUAGCUAAAAGAUAACAUGAAAGCAGUUGAGUGGAGACUUGAGAAACCAUCUCCAUAGCUCUGUCAGACCUGAAAUCAGCAGUUUCCCAAGGAGUCCUGGAUCCUUUUAAUAGAGUCCCUUUCUCUGUCUCAUUGUCUGGAGGACUAGAAACAGAGGCUGGAUGUCCCAGAGACCUAGGAGAAAACCAAAAAUGACUGGCAAAAAAGUCAAUGAAGGAGACCUAAUGAUAUUCUGCUUUACUGAUAGAUUGAUGGCUGGCCCAAUUGUCACCAGUGAGGCUUCAUCCAGAAACUGAUGGAAUAGCUACAGAGAUUGACAGUCAAACAUUAGGAGGAGUUUGAAGAAUACCCUGAAGAAGGAGAGGACAGAUUGUAGGAGCCAAGGUGGUCAAGGACACCCCAAGAAAACCCUCCAAAACAAGAAACUUAGAAUCAUAGGAGCUGAGACUGAACCAUCAAGGAGCCUUCACGAGACUCUCAUAGGCCCUCUGCAUAUAUAUUAUAGUUUUGUGUCAUGAUGUUCUUGUGUGACUCUUAAAAGUUGGACCAGGUGCAGUAUCUGACACUUUUGCUUGCUUUUGAGACCCUUUCUUCCCACUGGGUUGCCUCAUGCAGCCUUAAGAUAAGGGGAGGUUCCUGAUAUUUUGCAAAGUAAUAUGCCAUGUUUGGUUGAUAUCCUGGGAGACUUUCCUUUUUCUGAAGGAAAAACAAAGGAGCAGUGCAUGGGGGGAGGGUAGAGGUUGGAGGGGAUGAAGAAUGUAGGAGUGGAGGGACAAAGGGAGGGAACAUAUGGUCAGGAUGUAAUAUAUGAGGAAACAAGUUAAUUUUUAAAUUAAAAAGAUAGACGAAGAUUCCUGGCAUUGACAACUCACAGUUUUCAACAAAAAGAGUUAAUUAAGAAAUGUAUCUAUUCUACUAAAUCAGUGUUCACAUAUUUAGUUUUGACUCUGUGUCAAGUAUUUUUUGAAUAAAGUUUGUGAUUUAAAUUCUCUUAAGAUUCUUUGCAACCACUCUGGAAAUCAGUCUGGCAGUUCCUCAGAAAAUUGGGUAUGACACAUCCGGAGGACCCUGCUAUACCACUCCUGGGCAUAUAUCCAGAGGAUUCCCCAGCAUGUAAUAAAGACACACGCUCCACUAUGUUCAUAGCAGCCUUAUUUGUAAUAGCCAGAAACUGGAAAGAACCCAGAUGUCUCUCAGUGGAGGAAUGGA